UUUACUACGUAGAAGCAGAUGAAAACAGCAGGUGAUCCACAGAAGAGAGAGGAACAACACUGAGGCUGGCAUUUGACGCUGAAAUGCAUUAAAAAGAAAACAAGACCAUUCACAGUUGCUGCAAUCCUGUAUUUACAAAGCACAUAUGGAGCUCUAUGCUUGCAGAGUGUCGCAUCUUCUUUUUGAGAUAGCAGAUUUACCCUACAAAGUGUGGUCUCCCAGUUAAGUGUGGUCCAAUGGCAGAGAAGCUGCAUUAUUCACCAGCCCUAUAAUAAAGUUUUCCAGAGGCCUGA